CCUACGGGAGGCAGCAGUGGGGAAUAUUGGGCAAUGGAGGAAACUCUGACCCAGCAACGCCGCGUGCAUGAUGAAGGUCCUCGGAUUGUAAAGUUCUUUUCUAAGGGAAGAAGAACGUCACGGUACCUUAGGAAUACGCCUCGGCUAACUACGUGCCAGCAGCCGCUGUAAUCCGUAGGAGGCAAGCGUUAUCCGGAAUGACUGGGCGUACAGGGUGCGUAGGUGGUUUGACAAGUUGGUAGCGUAACUCCGGGGCUCAACCUCGGCACUACAACCAAAACUGUUGGACUUGAGGGCAGGGAGGGCAAAUGGAAUUCCUAGUGUAGCGGUGGAAUGCGUAGAUAUUAGGAGGAACACCAGUGGCGAAGGCGAUUUGCUGGACUGGAACUGACGCUGAGGCACGAAAGCGUGGGGAGCGAACAGGAUUAGAUACCCCGGUAGUC
rnacentral:rRNA from 1 species